rnacentral:tRNA from 1 species
AGUUCUAUAGCUCAGUGAUAAGAGCGCCAGGUAGUUAACCUGGAGGUCCUUGGUUUGAAUCCAAGUGGAACUA